rnacentral:rRNA from 1 species
GAUUAAGUUAUUAAGGGCGCACGGUGGAUGCCUUGGCACUAGAAGCCGAUGAAGGACGUUACUAACGACGAUAUGCUUUGGGGAGCUGUAAGUAAGCUUUGAUCCAGAGAUUUCCGAAUGGGGAAACCCAGCAUGAGUUAUGUCAUGUUAUCGAUAUGUGAAUACAUAGCAUAUCAGAAGGCACACCCGGAGAACUGAAACAUCUUAGUACCCGGAGGAAGAGAAAGAAAAUUCGAUUCCCUUAGUAGCGGCGAGCGAAACGGGAAGAGCCCAAACCAACAAGCUUGCUUGUUGGGGUUGUAGGACACUCUAUACGGAGUUACAAAGGACGACAUUAGACGAAUCAUCUGGAAAGAUGAAUCAAAGAAGGUAAUAAUCCUGUAGUCGAAAAUGUUGUCUCUCUUGAGUGGAUCCUGAGUACGACGGAGCACGUGAAAUUCCGUCGGAAUCUGGGAGGACCAUCUCCUAAGGCUAAAUACUCUCUAGUGACCGAUAGUGAACCAGUACCGUGAGGGAAAGGUGAAAAGCACCCCGGAAGGGGAGUGAAAUAGAACCUGAAACCGUGUGCUUACAAGUAGUCAGAGCCCGUUAAUGGGUGAUGGCGUGCCUUUUGUAGAAUGAACCGGCGAGUUACGAUUUGAUGCAAGGUUAAGCAGUAAAUGUGGAGCCGUAGCGAAAGCGAGUCUGAAUAGGGCGUUUAGUAUUUGGUCGUAGACCCGAAACCAGGUGAUCUACCCUUGGUCAGGUUGAAGUUCAGGUAACACUGAAUGGAGGACCGAACCGACUUACGUUGAAAAGUGAGCGGAUGAACUGAGGGUAGCGGAGAAAUUCCAAUCGAACCUGGAGAUAGCUGGUUCUCUCCGAAAUAGCUUUAGGGCUAGCCUCAAGUGAUGAUUAUUGGAGGUAGAGCACUGUUUGGACGAGGGGCCCCUCUCGGGUUACCGAAUUCAGACAAACUCCGAAUGCCAAUUAAUUUAACUUGGGAGUCAGAACAUGGGUGAUAAGGUCCGUGUUCGAAAGGGAAACAGCCCAGACCACCAGCUAAGGUCCCAAAAUAUAUGUUAAGUGGAAAAGGAUGUGGCGUUGCCCAGACAACUAGGAUGUUGGCUUAGAAGCAGCCAUCAUUUAAAGAGUGCGUAAUAGCUCACUAGUCGAGUGACACUGCGCCGAAAAUGUACCGGGGCUAAACAUAUUACCGAAGCUGUGGAUUGUCCUUUGGACAAUGGUAGGAGAGCGUUCUAAGGGCGUUGAAGCAUGAUCGUAAGGACAUGUGGAGCGCUUAGAAGUGAGAAUGCCGGUGUGAGUAGCGAAAGACGGGUGAGAAUCCCGUCCACCGAUUGACUAAGGUUUCCAGAGGAAGGCUCGUCCGCUCUGGGUUAGUCGGGUCCUAAGCUGAGGCCGACAGGCGUAGGCGAUGGAUAACAGGUUGAUAUUCCUGUACCACCUAUAAUCGUUUUAAUCGAUGGGGGGACGCAGUAGGAUAGGCGAAGCGUGCGAUUGGAUUGCACGUCUAAGCAGUAAGGCUGAGUAUUAGGCAAAUCCGGUACUCGUUAAGGCUGAGCUGUGAUGGGGAGAAGACAUUGUGUCUUCGAGUCGUUGAUUUCACACUGCCGAGAAAAGCCGCAGUGAAUAGGCCCAAGCGACUGUUUAUCAAAAACACAGGUCUCUGCUAAACCGUAAGGUGAUGUAUAGGGGCUGACGCCUGCCCGGUGCUGGAAGGUUAAGAGGAGUGGUUAGCUUCUGCGAAGCUACGAAUCGAAGCCCCAGUAAACGGCGGCCGUAACUAUAACGGUCCUAAGGUAGCGAAAUUCCUUGUCGGGUAAGUUCCGACCCGCACGAAAGGCGUAACGAUUUGGGCACUGUCUCAA